GAUGAACGCUGGCGGCGUGCCUAAUACAUGCAAGUCGAGCGAACGGACGAGAAGCUUGCUUCUCUGAUGUUAGCGGCGGACGGGUGAGUAACACGUGGAUAACCUACCUAUAAGACUGGGAUAACUUCGGGAAACCGGAGCUACUACCGGCUAAUAUUUUGAACCGCAUGGUUCAAAAGUGAAAGACGGUCUUGCUGUCACUUAUAGCUGGAUCCGCGCUGCAUUAGCUAGUUGGUAAGGUAACGGCUUACCAAGGCAACGAUGCAUAGCCGACCUGAGAGGAUGAUCGGCCACACUGGAACUGAGACACGGUCCAGACUCCUACGGGAGGCAGCAGUAGGGAAUCUUCCGCAAUGGGCGAAGGCCUGACGGAGCAACGCCGCGUGAGUGAUGAAGGUCUUCGGAUCGUAAAACUCUGUUAUUAGGGAAGAACAUAUGUGUAAGUAACUGUGCACAUCUUGACGGUACCUAAUCAGAAAGCCACGGCUAACUACGUG
rnacentral:rRNA from 1 species